rnacentral:rRNA from 1 species
CCUACGGGAGGCAGCAGUAAGGAACAUUGGUCAAUGGAGGGAACUCUGAACCAGCCAUGCCGCGUGAAGGAUGACGGCCCUCUGGGUUGUAAACUUCUUUUGGAUGGGGCGAAAAAACGGGAUUUAUCCUGGACUGACGGUACCAUCAGAAUAAGCACCGGCUAACUCCGUGCCAGCAGCCGCGGUAAU